AGUGAACGCCGGCGGUAGGCCUAACACAUGCAAGUCGAACGGCAGCACAGGAGAGCUUGCUCUCUGGGUGGCGAGUGGCGGACGGGUGAGGAAUACAUCGGAAUCUACUUUUUCGUGGGGGAGAACGUAGGGAAACUUACGCUAAUACCGCAUACGACCUACGGGUGAAAGCAGGGGACCUUCGGGCCUUGCGCGAUUGAAUGAGCCGAUGUCGGAUUAGCUAGUUGGCGGGGUAAAGGCCCACCAAGGCGACGAUCCGUAGCUGGUCUGAGAGGAUGAUCAGCCACACUGGAACUGAGACACGGUCCAGACUCCUACGGGAGGCAGCAGUGGGGAAUAUUGGACAAUGGGCGCAAGCCUGAUCCAGCCAUACCGCGUGGGUGAAGAAGGCCUUCGGGUUGUAAAGCCCUUUUGUUGGGAAAGAAAUCCAGCUGGCUAAUACCCGGUUGGGAUGACGGUACCCAAAGAAUAAGCACCGGCUAACUUCGUGCCAGCCGCCGCAGUAA
rnacentral:rRNA from 1 species